rnacentral:rRNA from 1 species
GUGAGAAACCUGCCUUUCAGUGGGGGACAACAGUUGGAAACGACUGCUAAUACCGCAUAAUGUUUCCGGACCGCAUGAUCUGGAAACCAAAGAUUUAUUGCUGAAAGAUGGUCUCGCGUCUGAUUAGCUAGUUGGUGGGGUAACGGCCCACCAAGGCGACGAUCAGUAGCCGGUCUGAGAGGAUGAACGGCCACAUUGGGACUGAGAUACGGCCCAGACUCCUACGGGAGGCAGCAGUGGGGAAUAUUGGGCAAUGGGCGAAAGCCUGACCCAGCAACGCCGCGUGAAGGAAGAAGGCCUUCGGGUUGUAAACUUCUUUUACCAGGGACGAAACAAAUGACGGUACCUGGAGAAAAAGCAACGGCUAACUACGUGCCAGCAGCCGCGGUAAUACGUAGGUUGCAAGCGUUGUCCGGAUUUACUGGGUGUAAAGGGCGUGUAGGCGGAGAUGCAAGUUGGGAGUGAAAUCCAUGGGCUCAACCCAUGAACUGCUUUCAAAACUGCAUCCCUUGAGUAUCGGAGAGGCAAGCGGAAUUCCUAGUGUAGCGGUGAAAUGCGUAGAUAUUAGGAGGAACACCAGUGGCGAAGGCGGCUUGCUGGACGACAACUGACGCUGAGGCGCGAAAGCGUGGGGAGCAAACAGGAUUAGAUACCCUGGUAGUCCGCGCUGUAAACGAUGAAUACUAGGUGUGGGAGGACUGACCCCUUCCGUGCCGCAGUUAACACAAUAAGUAUUCCACCUGGGGAGUACGACCGCAAGGUUGAAACUCAAAGGAAUUGACGGGGGCCCGCACAAGCAGUGGAUUAUGUGGUUUAAUUCGACGCAACGCGAAGAACCUUACCAGGACUUGACAUCCAACUAACGAAGUAGAGAUACAUUAGGUGCCCUUCGGGGAAAGUUGAGACAGGUGGUGCAUGGUUGUCGUCAGCUCGUGUCGUGAGAUGUUGGGUUAAGUCCCGCAACGAGCGCAACCCCUAUUGUUAGUUGCUACGAAAGAGCACUCUAGCGAGACUGCCGUUGACAAAACGGAGGAAGGCGGGGACGACGUCAAAUCAUCAUGCCCCUUAUGUCCUGGGCUACACACGUAAUACAAUGGUGGUUAACAGAGGGAAGCACAGCCGCGAGGUGGGGCAAAUCCCUAAAAGCCAUCUCAGUUCGGAUUGCAGGCUGCAACUCG